rnacentral:rRNA from 1 species
AGGACGAACGCUGGCGGCGUGCUUAACACAUGCAAGUCGAGCGAGGUCCAACUGGUGGCAACACCAGGGAAGACCGAGCGGCGAACGGGUGAGUAACACGUGAGCAACCUGUCCCGAAGACCGGGAUAACACCGGGAAACCGGUGCUAAUACCGGAUGUCCCCACCAGAUCACAUGGUUCGGUGAGGAAGUGGAUUCCGCUUCGGGAGGGGCUCGCGGGCUAUCAGCUUGUUGGUGGGGUAACGGCCCACCAAGGCUACGACGGCUAGCUGGUCUGAGAGGACGACCAGCCACACUGGGACUGAGACACGGCCCAGACUCCUACGGGAGGCAGCAGUGGGGAAUCUUGCGCAAUGGGCGAAAAGCCUGACGCAGCAACGCCGCGUGGGGAUGAAGGCUCUCGGGUUGUAAACCCCUUUCAGCAGGGACGAAAUUGACGGUACCUGCAGAAGAACGCCCGGCCAACUACGUGCCAGCAGCCGC